CAGGCAAUUCCAAUUCUGUGACCUGCACAAAUUAUACAAUCUCCUGAAUACUUUAUAUCAUUUAUUCCAUUUCACAUACUGGGUUAUGGUUUUCCUAGACCUGGGAUGUGGUAAUAACCUUGGCAGAGUCCUGAAGCCCACCACCUCAAACAGUCUUAUUCAGCCAAUCCUCCGGCUUCUGAGAUUUCAGCAGUUAUAACCCGUGUGUUGUCAAGCAUCUCUUCUCAGCCAUAAGUGUCCUCGACCCCGACCACAGUUGCCAACGAUGUGCAGUGGGGGCAAGGAAAUUCACUACAUGAAGUGCCUGAUCCACACAGCACAACAUGGCUGGGGAGGUAGGAGGCUUGUGAAAUUUGGCACAGGGGGACAAUCCCAGUGGAGAAUGGUUUUAACCCAGUGUAUAGAAACUUGGAGUGGCAUUUUCUGUGUUUCACUCUCUUAGUGGUUCCAUUCUAAUGCUGAUCCAAAUGAAAAGUGGUGACUUGGGAGUUUAUUGGAGAAAAUAUGUUGCUUAACAAGGAUAGUUCAGAGACCCAGUUUAAGUCAGCAGUACACUUUCUCUGUGGUAGCUCAUUGCAGCCUUAUUAAGAACUGGCUGAACAUGUCCUUGGAUGUGAGAGAGGAUGCACAUCUGCAUCUAAGGCUACUGUGCUCAUGUGGGACCAGUUGCCGGCAACUGCAGCUACACAGCCUGCUAGAGCAAAGUACAGCCAACUACUUUGCUCAGUUUGACGUGUUCCAAGAGAAUGAAUACAAGAAGACUGCUUUGGAGUGGGCAACACCUAAAUCAAUUCAAAAAGAGAGUAUGUUCUAACUUAAAUUAAACCUGAAUUCUGAAGAAGCAUUAACUGACAAAUGGUAACUUUGUGCCCAUCAAUGCCAUCAGAAUUUGCAUCCCGACAACACUGUACAGUCAUACCUCGGGAUAAAUACGCUUCAGGUUGAACGCUUUCGGGUUGCGCUCCACGGUGACCUGGAAGUAACGGAGCGUGUUACUUCUGGGUUUCGCCUCUCGUGCAUGUGCAGACGGUCAAAAUGACGUCAUGCACGUGCACGGAAGCGGCGAAAUGCGACCCGCGCACGUGCGUCUUGCGUUCCGUUCGGGAUGCGAAUGGGGCUCCGGAACAGAUCCCGUUCACAUCUCGAGAUACCACUGUAUUGUAUCCCACCAGAGGCUUGAUAGGCCCUAUGUUUUGGUGUCUGGGUCUACAAAUGUGGGGUCAAGAGGGAAUUAUCGAUAAUACAUGACUGAAUUUGUCAUGGUAGAUUGUGUGUAGCUGAGGGCUGCCCUUCUGUAUAGCAAUGAGAUGCUAUGCUGUGUUAAUACGAUGCACGUUGUGACAGAUCCAUUGAAAGGCUAAGCGGCUGCUGUGGUUCUGAAGACUGCAGAACUGCUCCUUCCCUCAGAAUCCGAGGGCAAAGAACAGCAGGGUACCUGACCUUCUAACACAACCUUUGCCAACCUUCUGCCCUCUGGGUGUUUUGGACCACAACUCCCAUCACCUGUCACUUCUGCAUGACAAAAUCCCCUCUUCUACCCAUCAGUUAAAGGUAUACAUGUUUAUUCUCCUCUGCACAGGAUUAUAGUGGGUAGACAGGAUUUCUGAUGGGAUGAGAAGUGGAAGAAGUAGGUUUGCUCCAAAACCAGAGGUAUAUCAUCUUCACAGCAAAGAAGAUAAACAGAAUAUCAAGGCAAACCUGGGCACAGAAUUCCCACCCCCCCAGUAGAUUUUGCUCUUGACUACACAAUGCUGCAUAUCCGAAUGCUUAAAAUAUUAAUGCCUUUUUGAGAGAGUAAUUUCCAUUCUUAUCCCUUCAGAUGUAUUGGGGGAAACCCUUUCUACAAAACAGAAAGCUCAGAGGCAGUGGUGAUUUGAAGACCUUUGUCAACUCUAUCCAUCGGAACGCUACAUCGAUGGCUGUGGAAAUAAAACAUCCAGUCUGAAAGCCUGUACCAAGGACCUGCAAACUCAGGCCCCCUUAAGAGUUGGCUGACUGUGAGGGGAAAAUGGCUCAUGUCUGAGCUGCUACAUGUCUAGGGCAACAGCAGACGUGGUGCCCCUAGGAAAGCUGGAGGAACUGUGCUCUCUUCCUGUAUCAUAUGCUUCCCUAGGAGACGUCCUGUCAAGAGAAAAACAGGAACCAGCUCACUCUUUGAUGUUCUUGCUGUAUUUGGAAGAGGCCCCCAUGGUGCUCGGGUUGGACUAGUUGAGCAAUUGACAGCAUACACUGCAUGUAUAAGGUUCUGGGUUCAAUCCCUGUACUGCAGUGAUUGGCUGAGCUGCCUGAAUACUGGGUUGGCAGAAAGGCAUUGGAAAUGUGGAACAGAUGUAAUAUGGGCCAUAGCUAUGGGGAAGUGGGAAUUCAGGAUGGGGCUUGCAGAGGGAGUGGUCUAGGGGAAUGCCAGAAGGAGGUGCUUACGAGCGGAAAGAGGCAGAGAGGAACAGUCAACGUGGCUAGGAGCAGCAGAGGUGAGGAAUCAGAAAUUGACUGGAAAUAAUCAGCCAAAUCUUGGGCUGCUAGCCUCUGGUCUCCAGUUAAAGGCUGUUGGGUAGCUAAGCUGGAUAUGCUCUUGCAUGGAGCUUGAUAGGCCUACCAAAUAGACCACUAUUCUGAUGAAGCAUAAGGCAGUUUUCUAAAUACUGUAUCCUGGACUAACCAAUAUUACAAAGAUAAUGUUUGUGGACUUUUCCAGUUGUGUGCACGAUCGCUGGUUAUGCAACCUCCUCCUUCUG